GAUGAACGCUGGCGGCGUGCCUAAUACAUGCAAGUCGAGCGAACAGACGAGGAGCUUGCUCCUCUGACGUUAGCGGCGGACGGGUGAGUAACACGUGGAUAACCUACCUAUAAGACUGGGAUAACUUCGGGAAACCGGAGCUAAUACCGGAUAAUAUAUUGAACCGCAUGGUUCAAUAGUGAAAGACGGUUUUGCUGUCACUUAUAGAUGGAUCCGCGCCGCAUUAGCUAGUUGGUAAGGUAACGGCUUACCAAGGCAACGAUGCGUAGACGACCUGAGAGGGUGAUCGGCCACACUGGAACUGAGACACGGUCCAGACUCCUACGGGAGGCAGCAGUAGGGAAUCUUCCGCAAAGGGCGAAAGCUUGACGGAGCAACGCCGCGUGAGUGAUGAAGGUCUUCGGAUCGUAAAACUCUGUUAUUAGGGAAGAACAAAUGUGUAAGUAACUAUGCACGUCUUGACGGUACCUAAUCAGAAAGCCACGGCUAACUACGUG
rnacentral:rRNA from 1 species